UUCAAAUAAGCUUUUAUAGCGUUUCACUUACACUGAAAAAAAUCUUUAAUA
rnacentral:tRNA from 1 species